UUUUACACACUUGCUCGUAAAAUAACUCUUAUUGCAACGCUUUCAAGUACAAAGCACAGUAAGGCAUUAUAUAUAACUAAAAAAUGAGAUCCUCCAAAAACAGAUCAUUUCUGUGGGACUUUUUAUCUGGCAGGUGAUCCAACAAGUUAUCUUCUUCUUCUUUUGCUAGUCGAUGGCGAUCGAUACUAAAUUUUUGCUGACCAAUAAUUGGCCACGCUUACGGCAUUGUCAGUGGCUUCGUAAAGGUCUUUAAUAGUGCAGGUGUUAGGGCACUUAGGACAGCACAAAAGGUGAGCCAUAGUUUGUGGUGAUACUCCACACUCGCAAUCAUCGCAACAAGUUAUGCAUAGGUGAGAGUGCGGAGCGCUAUAGCGCUAUAGAGAGAGAGUUUAUCGGCACUGCCUGAGCUCUUGCUUGCCGCGUUAUUAUUGGCUCUGACGAACUUGUUGGAUCACCUUAGUUAUACAUAAUGUUCCGUUAAAAUUUCAAGUUGCCUCAAUAAAGUACAUUUUUUAUAUUUUUUUGCAAAAUAUUUUUGGACGCAUCUGGCAAUUUUAAAAUCCCGAUUGAAACGUCUGGCUUAUUUUUUUUUUAUUCAUUAAACAUUAAACUACAACAUAUAAAAAUUGCAUAUUGCCUCAAAUAUAUUUUUCGAAAUAAAAAAAAUAUGUUUUUAGAAAUGUAGGAGUUGAUUGAGCCCCAGUACUCACCAGCCAGGUCUGCAGUUCUGUAUUGGGGUAUAAUAGGAGAGGUAUAGGACAAGUUUUCAGCUUGCCUCAAAUACCUACCCAAAAAUUCUUGCCAGCUCUCGGACUAUAAGUGACGUCGUAAUGAGUUCUAAAGGGAAUGAUUCAGCUCUUUUUUCUGAAUUAAUAUCAAGUGGAAUUUUCCAUCGCAAAAGUAUAGAA